UGGGGAAUAUUGCACAAUGGGCGCAAGCCUGAUGCAGCCAUGCCGCGUGAACGAAGAAGGCUUUCGAGUCGUAAAGUUCUUUUAUAUGGGAAGAUAAUGACGGUACCAUAAGAAAAAGCCCCGGCUAACUACGUGCCAGCAGCCGCGGUAAUACGUAGGGGGCUAGCGUUGUCCGGAAUCACUGGGCGUAAAGGGUUCGCAGGCGGAAAUGCAAGUCAGGUGUAAAAGGCAGUAGCUUAACUACUGUAAGCAUUUGAAACUGCAUAUCUUGAGAAGAGUAGAGGUAAGUGGAAUUUUUAGUGUAGCGGUGAAAUGCGUAGAUAUUAAAAAGAAUACCGGUGGCGAAGGCGACUUACUGGGCUCAUUCUGACGCUGAGGAACGAAAGCGUGGGUAGCAAACAGG
rnacentral:rRNA from 1 species